rnacentral:rRNA from 2 species
GACCCUUCGGGGAGCUAGCACAGGUGCUGCAUGGCUGUCGUCAGCUCGUGUCGUGAGAUGUUCGGUUAAGUCCGCUAACGAGCGCAACCCUCGCUGUGUGUUAUAUGUGUCACAUGGGACUGCCGGCCUUAAGCCGGAGGAAGGUGGGGAUGAUGUCAAGUCAGCAUGGCCUUUAUGUCCUGGGCUACACACACGCUACAAUGGUCAGCACAAUGGGUCGCUAAGCCGCAAGGUGGAGCCAAUCCUCAAAGUUGGCCUCAGUUCAGAUUGUAGGCUGCAACUCGCCUGCAUGAAGAUGGAGUUGCUAGUAAACGCAGGUCAGCUAUAUUGCGUUGAAUACGUUCCCGAGGCUU